UUAAGCGACUAAGCGUACACGGUGGAUGCCCUGGCAGUCAGAGGCGAUGAAGGACGUGCUAAUCUGCGAAAAGCGUCGGUAAGGUGAUAUGAACCGUUAUAACCGGCGAUGUCCGAAUGGGGAAACCCAGUGCAAUUCGUUGCACUAUCGUUAACUGAAUACAUAGGUUAACGAGGCGAACCGGGGGAACUGAAACAUCUAAGUACCCCGAGGAAAAGAAAUCAACCGAGAUUCCCCCAGUAGCGGCGAGCGAACGGGGAGCAGCCCAGAGUCUGAAUCAGCUUGUGUGUUAGUGGAACGGUCUGGAAAGUCCGACGGUACAGGGUGAUAGUCCCGUACACCAAAAUGCACAGGCUGUGAACUCGAAGAGUAGGGCGGGACACGUGGUAUCCUGUCUGAAUAUGGGGGGACCAUCCUCCAAGGCUAAAUACUCCUGACUGACCGAUAGUGAACCAGUACCGUGAGGGAAAGGCGAAAAGAACCCCGGCGAGGGGAGUGAAAAAGAACCUGAAACCGUGUACGUACAAGCAGUGGGAGCACCUUCGGGUGUGACUGCGUACCUUUUGUAUAAUGGGUCAGCGACUUAUAUUCUGUAGCAAGGUUAACCGUAUAGGGGAGCCGCAGGGAAACCGAGUCUUAACUGGGCGUUAAGUUGCAGGGUAUAGACCCGAAACCCGGUGAUCUAGCCAUGGGCAGGUUGAAGGUUGGGUAACACUAACUGGAGGACCGAACCGACUAAUGUUGAAAAAUUAGCGGAUGACUUGUGGCUGGGGGUGAAAGGCCAAUCAAACCGGGAGAUAGCUGGUUCUCCCCGAAAGCUAUUUAGGUAGCGCCUCGUGAAUUCAUCUUCGGGGGUAGAGCACUGUUUCGGCUAGGGGGUCAUCCCGACUUACCAACCCGAUGCAAACUACGAAUACCGAAGAAUGUUAUCACGGGAGACACACGGCGGGUGCUAACGUCCGUCGUGAAGAGGGAAACAACCCAGACCGCCAGCUAAGGUCCCAAAGUCAUGGUUAAGUGGGAAACGAUGUGGGAAGGCACAGACAGCCAGGAUGUUGGCUUAGAAGCAGCCAUCAUUUAAAGAAAGCGUAAUAGCUCACUGGUCGAGUCGGCCUGCGCGGAAGAUGUAACGGGGCUAAACCAUGCACCGAAGCUGCGGCAGCGACACUAUGUGUUGUUGGGUAGGGGAGCGUUCUGUAAGCCUGCGAAGGUGUGCUGUGAGGCAUGCUGGAGGUAUCAGAAGUGCGAAUGCUGACAUAAGUAACGAUAAAGCGGGUGAAAAGCCCGCUCGCCGGAAGACCAAGGGUUCCUGUCCAACGUUAAUCGGGGCAGGGUGAGUCGACCCCUAAGGCGAGGCCGAAAGGCGUAGUCGAUGGGAAACAGGUUAAUAUUCCUGUACUUGGUGUUACUGCGAAGGGGGGACGGAGAAGGCUAUGUUAGCCGGGCGACGGUUGUCCCGGUUUAAGCAUGUAGGCUGGUUGUCCAGGCAAAUCCGGAUAAUCAAGGCUGAGGUGUGAUGACGAGGCACUACGGUGCUGAAGUAACAAAUGCCCUGCUUCCAGGAAAAGCCUCUAAGCAUCAGGUAACAUCAAAUCGUACCCCAAACCGACACAGGUGGUCAGGUAGAGAAUACCAAGGCGCUUGAGAGAACUCGGGUGAAGGAACUAGGCAAAAUGGUGCCGUAACUUCGGGAGAAGGCACGCUGGUGUGUAGGUGAAGUCCCUGCGGAUGGAGCUGAGACCAGUCGAAGAUACCAGCUGGCUGCAACUGUUUAUUAAAAACACAGCACUGUGCAAACACGAAAGUGGACGUAUACGGUGUGACGCCUGCCCGGUGCCGGAAGGUUAAUUGAUGGGGUUAUCCGUAAGGAGAAGCUCUUGAUCGAAGCCCCGGUAAACGGCGGCCGUAACUAUAACGGUCCUAAGGUAGCGAAAUUCCUUGUCGGGUAAGUUCCGACCUGCACGAAUGGCGUAAUGAUGGCCAGGCUGUCUCCACCCGAGACUCAGUGAAAUUGAACUCGCUGUGAAGAUGCAGUGUACCCGCGGCAAGACGGAAAGACCCCGUGAACCUUUACUAUAGCUUGACACUGAACAUUGAGCCUUGAUGUGUAGGAUAGGUGGGAGGCUUUGAAGCGUGGACGCCAGUCUGCGUGGAGCCAACCUUGAAAUACCACCCUUUAAUGUUUGAUGUUCUAACGUUGGCCCCUUACCGGGGUUGCGGACAGUGUCUGGUGGGUAGUUUGACUGGGGCGGUCUCCUCCCAAAGCGUAACGGAGGAGCACGAAGGUUAGCUAAUCCUGGUCGGACAUCAGGAGGUUAGUGCAAUGGCAUAAGCUAGCUUGACUGCGAGCGUGACGGCGCGAGCAGGUGCGAAAGCAGGUCAUAGUGAUCCGGUGGUUCUGAAUGGAAGGGCCAUCGCUCAACGGAUAAAAGGUACUCCGGGGAUAACAGGCUGAUACCGCCCAAGAGUUCAUAUCGACGGCGGUGUUUGGCACCUCGAUGUCGGCUCAUCACAUCCUGGGGCUGAAGUAGGUCCCAAGGGUAUGGCUGUUCGCCAUUUAAAGUGGUACGCGAGCUGGGUUUAGAACGUCGUGAGACAGUUCGGUCCCUAUCUGCCGUGGGCGCUGGAGAAUUGAGGGGGGCUGCUCCUAGUACGAGAGGACCGGAGUGGACGCAUCACUGGUGUUCGGGUUGUCAUGCCAAUGGCACUGCCCGGUAGCUAAAUGCGGAAGAGAUAAGUGCUGAAAGCAUCUAAGCACGAAACUUGCCCCGAGAUGAGUUCUCCCUGAGACUUUAAGUCUCCUGAAGGAACGUUGAAGACGACGACGUUGAUAGGCCGGGUGUGUAAGCGCAGCGAUGCGUUGAGCUAACCGGUACUAAUGAACCGUGAGGCUUAACCU
rnacentral:rRNA from 1 species